rnacentral:rRNA from 1 species
AUAAGGGCGCACGGAGGAUGCCUUGGCACUAGGAGUCGAAGAAGGACGCGACAAACGGCGAAACGCCUCGGGGAGCUGUAAGUGAGCAUUGAUCCGGGGGUAUCCGAAUGGGGAAACCCGCUAGUGGUUAUACGCUAGCACCAUAUGGUGAAUACAUAGCCAUAUAGGAGACAGACCCAGGGAACUGAAACAUCUAAGUACCUGGAGGAAAAGAAAGAAAAAUCGAUUCCCGUAGUAGCGGCGAGCGAAGUGGGAAGAGCCCAAACCGGAUUUAUCCGGGGUUGUAGGACCUUCAUAAUUGACAAAUCAUGAUAGCCGAAUGGUCUGGGAAGGCCAACCGUAGGGGGUGAGAGUCCCGUAGGUGAAAUUGUGAGAUGCAUGGAAGGAAUCCUGAGUACGGCGGGACACGUGGAAUCCCGUCGGAAUCAACGAGGACCAUCUCGUAAGGCUAAAUACUACCUAGUGACCGAUAGUGAACCAGUACCGUGAGGGAAAGGUGAAAAGAACCCCGGAAGGGGAGUGAAAGAGAACCUGAAACCGUGUGCCUACAAAUAGUCAGAGCCCGUUAAUGGGUGAUGGCGUGCCUUUUGUAGAAUGAACCGGCGAGUUACGAUAUCGUGCGAGGUUAAGCAGAAGAUGCGGAGCCGUAGCGAAAGCGAGUCUGAAUAGGGCGAAGAGUACGAUGUUGUAGACCCGAAACCGUGUGAGCUAGCCAUGAGCAGGCUGAAGGUCAGGUAACACUGACUGGAGGGCCGAACCAGGGCACGUUGAAAAGUGCUUGGAUGACUUGUGGCUAGGGGUGAAAUUCCAAUCGAACACGGAUAUAGCUGGUUCUCUCCGAAAUAGCUUUAGGGCUAGCCUCGAUGUUAAGUCUACUGGAGGUAGAGCACUGAAUGGGUGAUGGCCCCACCUCGGGGUACUGAUCUCAAUCAAACUCCGAAUGCCAGAUAGAUAUAAUCGGGAGUCAGACUGUGGGUGAUAAGGUCCAUGGUCAAAAGGGAAAGAGCCCAGACCGCCAGCUAAGGCCCCCAAGUGUCCGUUAAGUGGAAAAGGAUGUGGAGAUGCACAGACAACUAGGAGGUUGGCUUAGAAGCAGCCAUCCUUUAAAGAGUGCGUAAUAGCUCACUAGUCGAGUGACUCUGCGCCGAAAAUGUACCGGGGCUAAACGGACCGCCGAAGCUGCGGAUUGACUUUAGAGUCAGUGGUAGGAGAGCGUUCUAACAGCGGUGAAGCAGUACCGGAAGGAGCUGUGGAGCGGUUAGAAGUGAGAAUGCCGGUGUGAGUAGCGAAAGAUAGGUGAGAAUCCUAUCCAUCGAAAGCCUAAGGUUUCCAGGGGAAGGCUCGUCCGCCCUGGGUAAGUCGGGACCUAAGGUGAGGCCGAAAGGCGUAGCCGAUGGACAACAGGUUGAUAUUCCUGUACCACUUAUUAAACUGAUGGAGUGACGGAGAAGGCUAAGUUGAGCGUGUGAUUGGAUUCACGUGUAAGCAGUGAGGUGGUCAUGUAGGCAAAUCCGCAUGGCAUAACAUUGAGCUGUGAUGCCGAAGCCGAAUGGCGAAGUCAACUGACGUCACGCUUCCAAGAAAAGCUUCUAGGGUUAAUUUAAUAAGUGCCCGUACCGAUAACCGACACAGGUAGGCGAGGAGAGAAUCCUAAGAUGAGCGAGAGAACUCUUGUUAAGGAACUCGGCAAAAUGACCCCGUAACUUCGGGAGAAGGGGUGCUUGUGAAAGCAAGCCGCAGUGAAUAGGCCCAGGCGACUGUUUAUCAAAAACACAGGUCUCUGCUAAACCGCAAGGUGAUGUAUAGGGGCUGACGCCUGCCCGGUGCUGGAAGGUUAAGAGGAGAGGUUAGCGCAAGCGAAGCUUUGAAUUGAAGCCCCAGUAAACGGCGGCCGUAACUAUAACGGUCCUAAGGUAGCGAAAUUCCUUGUCGGGUAAGUUCCGACCCGCACGAAAGGCGUAA